AUUACUGAGCUUAAAGUACUGACUAAACAUUUAGAGGGCGUAGAUUUCUCUAGCUCUUAGCAGUGUACUGAAAAGGCGCGCAGCUUGCUUGAGCAACUUAAAUUUGUAUGAGCUGACAUGGGAGAAUGUAAAACAAAGUUUAAUGGCUAGAUUUUGUAAACCAAAAUUAUUUCAAGACUUCUUUGAUGAAAUAUUGCGUUUUCAAAUUGGAACAAAAGAAACUGCAGCAGAGUGGCCUGCGCUUAUGGAAUAUGAUCGAAACUAUACCUAAAACCCGAAUCUCAAGAUUUUAUAACUGGAUACGUCAUAUCGGUCUUAUGUCAGAAGGAUGAUUUGAUAUGCCGUGAGCUAAACGCAUAUACUGUCACUAUUAAACCUCAGCUGUUUAGAAUCUUAAAAGGCAUUUCCCUAAAGCGAAGAUCGGGUGUUACUGAAAUCCAAGAGCCUGAUUUCAAGCGACCUAGAAUUGUGGACGCAAGAUUUCCUGAUUCUUCUAGGAUGACUAAGCAGCAAGAUCCGUCAACUGCAACACGUGCCCCCGAGAAAACUUCUACCGUAACCUGUUAUAUAUGCGGUCAAGUUGGACACAUAGCAACAAUUUGUAAAGAAAAG